GGGGAUUUAGCUCAGUGGUAGAGCGCUUGCCUACCAACCGCAAGGCCCUGGGUUCAGUCCCCA
rnacentral:tRNA from 1 species